rnacentral:rRNA from 1 species
AGCAUAUUACUAAGCGGAGGAAAAGAAACUAACAAGGAUUCCCCCAGUAAUGGCGAAUGAAGAGGGAACAGCUCAACUUGAAAAUCUCCGUUGUGUUGCAACGGCGAAUUGUAGUUUCGAGAAGUACUUUCCCGGCGCGUCGGGCUUGCCUAAGUUGCUUGGAACAGCACGUCAUAGAGGGUGACAACCCCGUACGUGGCAACGCUCGUGCGCUCGCGAUGUGCUUUCGAAGAGUCGGGUUGCUUGGGAAUGCAGCCCAAAACGGGUGGUAAACUCCAUCUAAAGCUAAAUACAGGCACGAGACCGAUAGCGAACAAGUACCGUGAGGGAAAGAUGAAAAGGACUUUGAAAAGAGAGUUAAAAAGUACGUGAAACCGUUGAAAGGGAAGCGAAUGGAGUUAGCAAUUCGCCCUGCCAGAUUCAGCAGCUCGCGCGCCGCGACGCACGCGCUCUCGAUCCGCAUGGACGAGACGUGCGCGGGUGCGGCGCGCGGUCUGCGCACUUCUGGCGAGCGAGCGUCAGCGUCGGUUGCCGACGUGCUACAAGGACGCGGGGAAGGUGGACAGGCCCUCGUGGCCUGUUGUUAUAGCCCCGCGCUCGCAUGGCUCGACGGCGACCGAGGCUUCUGGCGACGCGUGCCUGGCUGGCGACUCGAACGAUCGGUCCGGCAUGUCGACCGUGGCGGACGGCACGCCUGUGCGCUCGAACUGCUGCCGGCCGAUCGGACGGUGUUCGCACACUACGCGUCGAGGAUGCUGACGGCCAUACGGCUCCAUCCGACCCGUCUUGAAACACGGACCAAGG